CACCACUCAAGCCUCGCUUGGUAUUGGGCGACGCGGUCCGCCGCGCGCCUCAAAUCGACCGGCUGGGUCUUUCGUCCCCUCAGCGUUGUGGAAACUAUUCGCUAAAGGGUGCCGCGGGGGGCCACGCCGUGAAACAACCCCAUUUCUAA
rnacentral:misc_RNA from 1 species